rnacentral:rRNA from 1 species
GACGAACGCUGGCGGCGUGCUUAACACAUGCGAGUCGAGCGGAAAGGCCCCCUUGUGGGGUACUCGAGUGGCGAACGGGUGAGUAACACGUGAGUAACCUACCCUUGACUUUGGGAUAACUUCAGGAAACUGGGGCUAAUACCGGAUAGGAGCUCCUGCUGCAUGGUGGGGGUUGGAAAGUUUCGGCGGUUGGGGAUGGACGCGCGGCUUAUCAGCUUGUUGGUGGGGUAGUGGCUUACCAAGGCUUUGACGGGUAGCCGGCCUGAGAGGGUGACCGGCCACAUUGGGACUGAGAUACGGCCCAGACUCCUACGGGAGGCAGCAGUGGGGAAUAUUGCACAAUGGGCGGAAGCCUGAUGCAGCAACGCCGCGUGCGGGAUGACGGCCUUCGGGUUGUAAACCGCUUUCGCCUGUGACGAAGCGUGAGUGACGGUAAUGGGUAAAGAAGCACCGGCUAACUACGUG